GGUAGUUCAGCUGGUUAGAAUGCCGCCCUGUCACGGCGGAGGUCGCGGGUUCGAGCCCCGUCC
rnacentral:tRNA from 1 species